rnacentral:telomerase_RNA from 1 species
GCGCACGUCGCCUCCCACACAGUCCCCAAUUCUGGUUUUCCGCAAGGAAUGUCUAUCGCAGACCCCCCUUUUAGGCUUGUCGCCCAGAAUAUGCUGCCCACGAGUCCUGCAACAGCUCUCGUCGCCGGCAGCAUUUGGAUGUAUUCUGGCCACUUCGCCAUCGGUCACUAGAUGGCCAAGCCUAGCCGGGGGAACUCAGUCUUGGAACUUAACCCUAAAAUCUUUGCUGGUUUUCUCUACAUCGCUUUGCACCAACACGGUCUCUUUGCCUUUUAAGUCGUCCAAUCUCUCUCAAAUCGGACUUGUCACUGAAAAUGUGGUCUCGCCUGAAGAGAUGAGGCAGGGAUUCGACAGAAUGGCGGGGUGAGAAAACCAGUCACCUGUGUGUGCGCGAAUGGUGGGAGCCAUGAGUCCCGAAUGGGUGGCAGUCAGAUCCCGAGAGGACGCUCGUCGGCUCUCCCAGCUGGUCAACCCGUGGCCACCAAUCGGUUGUUCCCGUGGCGUCUUGAGCUGUCAUGGCGUGCCACUGUCGAUGUGCCUAGCUUGGGCGGGACUUGUCGGAGUGCUCCUUUAGCCCCGGGCAAAGGCAAUCGGGAGAACUUGAGCGUGCAAGGGGCCGCACACAGUCAGUUCGCGGCAUUUCGAGAACCACACCAACUGGUGACUUGCCGGAGCACGCACAGAUGCGAUGUUGCGAGAACCACUUGGUAUCAUACGGAAAUGCUAGCGCUUGACCCGGCACGCCCCUUUGCUCUGCUCUCGGAAACCUCUAAGACUGUCUUUUGCUGCGUCCUGCCUAUUGCAAUGGCAUGUCACAGGCCAUGCACUCUGCUCGGCGCCCUGGAACCACACAACAGCAACAGCUAAGCGUGUGGGAUGCAUCCGCAUCUGACCGGGCCAAGUGCAUCAACCUUCGGUCGUGGGCCUCGGUCUAUGAUGCGGCAAGGGCGCCAGUACCUCACUCCGAGAUCGGUUCUCACUCUCGGUGCUUCCCUCGUUUUGUCCACGACCAGACGAGUUGAGAACACGGUUUUUUAUGGAUGUCUUUUGUCCGUGUGUCGAUGCCCUCCUUAAAGCCUCUCGUCGAGAGUUUCGGAGAGGAUACAAAAACAAGUCCUCGCUGGCAGUGCAAAACAAACAGAAGGAGCUCGCUUUUCUGGCGCCAAGACGAGCUUCAGUUAUGCGAUUCGUGGCCUCGGCUUCAUCCUCGGACGGUUCUGAGAAGGCGGUCAAGUAUUACAGGGGAUCGGUACGGAGCAGAGUGCUCUAGCAGGAUGGCAUUUUCGGCCAUCGCCGGAUGAUGGUCUCGGCGUUUGAAUGUGGUUGCUGGACCGGGACCCAUCUCGAGUUGGAGUCAAAGUUUCGCACUUGUCCGUAUCGGCGACUGCGUUUGAACGCCAGCCACGUCUGCGCACUGCCGGCGACCUUGAUGACUCUUGUCACAUCCUCAUUGGCGGGGAAGGCUCUUUUGGUUGUCCCUCUACCAGGAAUGGGCUGAGGGACAACCCC